rnacentral:rRNA from 1 species
UACGUAGGGGGCAAGCGUUGUUCGGAAUUACUGGGCGUAAAGAGUGUGUAGGCGGUGUUCCAAGUCUGGUGUGAAAUCUCCCGGCUUAACUGGGAGGGUGCAUUAGAAACUGGAAUGCUAGAGGAUGGGAGAGGUAAGCGGAAUUCCUGGUGUAGCGGUGAAAUGCGUAGAUAUCAGGAGGAACACCUGUGGUGUAGACAGCUUACUGGACCAUUUCUGACGCUGAGACACGAAAGCGUGGGUAGCAAACAGG